rnacentral:piRNA from 1 species
UAUGGUGAUAAUGGUCCCGAUCGGAUACCUG